CCUAAAUAGCUAGUUUUCUAUGAAAUAUAUUAUAGUAUAGAACUAUAAAAGAAGAUAUUUAAAGGUAUAUCACUAAUAUAAAAUAUAUAUUAAAAUAAAAAUUAUAAAUAUAAAAGUAUAGAUUUCAGAAUAAUUACGCAAAGGUAAUUAGUCAAAAGGUAAAGAGACCUAACCAUAAUUAGAAGAUUCUAAAAUAAUAAAUUUUUAAGUGAAAUUAAAAUUAUAAAAAUAAUAACUAAGUAUUACUUAUUAAGCUUAGAAAUAGCUAAAUAUUAAAGAGUAUGUAAUAAUAACAGUAAAACAGUUUUAUAACUCAAUAUAUAAUUGAUAAAUAAAAAGGAUCUAAAAUAAAUAUCGAUAAAUGGUAUAAAAAUCAAUAUAAAAAUUGAUAAAAUAGGUAAUAGAAAACCUCUUAAUUAAAAAAAUAAUUAAGAAAGAUAAUGCUAACAUGAGUAACUAAAUGAAAACAAAUCAAGUAUAAACAAAGGAUUUAAAAAUAUAUCAUAAAAAGUCUCUAAUGUAAAUCAGAUGAGAAUAAUAUUAAUAAUAAAAUUAUAUUAAGACAAAACUAUAAAUCGACAAAGAUUGUUUAUAAAAAAAAUACUAAAAUAAAAAGAACAAAUUAAGGAUAAGGAACUCGGCAAAAUAUUUCUGUAACAUAGGAGAAAGAAAAUAUAAUAAAAUAUUAUAUAAAAUAUAUAAAUGAAUCCGAACUAUUUACCAAAUAUACAGGACUCUGCAAACUAAACAAAAGGAAGUAUAGAGUCUGAAGCUUGCUCAGUAUUAAUAGUAAAUAAAUAAGCAUUAAUAAACAGCCGUCUUAUUACCUGAGGAUGAUAAAGUAGCAAUUACUUGUCUAUUAAUUGUAGACUUGCAUGAAUAGCCUAAUCAGGAUUCAACUGUCUCAUUCUUAAAUUCAGUGAAAUUAUAUUAUCAGUAAAGAUACUGAUUAAAUACAAGUAGACGAAAAGACCCCGUAGAGUUUUACUUAAAAUUAUUUAAAUAAUAAAAAAGUAAAUAAUAGAAAAGUUUAUUUUGGAUAAAUUUCUUCUAAAAAGUAAUGAAGAAGUAUAAAGUUACAUAUAAAAUAUAAAAAUAAUAGAAUAGAAUUAAUGUAAUUAACUGUAAAAGUGAUAACUUAAACAGAUAUAAAAGUAGAUUAUACUGACCAGAUAUAUAAUAUAUCGUUCAACAGAUAAAAAUUACCUCGGGGAUAACAGGCUAAUGUUAAUUAUGAGUACUAAUUGUAAUUAAAGUUUUGCACCUCGAUGUUGUCUUAGGAUAUCCUAUAUAAGAAAAGAUAUAUAAGGGUUUGACUGUUCGUCAAUUAAAAUCCUACAUGAGAUGAGUUAAUUUCGGUGUGAACCAGAAAGGUUUCUAUCUCUUGUAUAUAUAUAAAUGUAAAAGUAUAUAAUCAUAUGUACGAAAGGAUCAUGAUUAUAAAACCUCUAUUAUAUUCAUUGUCUAAAAAAGCAAAGUGAAUUAGAUACGUGUAAAUAAAUUAAAGAUUGAAAUAAUCUUA
rnacentral:rRNA from 1 species